UACGGGGGGGGCAAGCGUUGUUCGGAAUUCCUGGGCGUAAAGGGCUCGUAGGUGGCCAACUAAGUCAGACGUGAAAUCCCUCAGCUUAACUGGGGAACUGCGUCUGAUACUGGAUGGCUUGAGUUUGGGAGAGGGAUGCGGAAUUCCGGGUGUAGCGGUGAAAUGCGUAGAGAUCCGGAGGAACCCCAGAGGCGAAGGCGGCAUCCUGGCCCACGACUGACACUCAGACACGACAGCAUGGGGAGCGAACGGG
rnacentral:rRNA from 1 species